rnacentral:rRNA from 1 species
UGGGGAAUAUUGCACAAUGGGCGCAAGCCUGAUGCAGCCAUGCCGCGUGUGUGAAGAAGGCUUUCGGGUUGUAAAGCACUUUCAGUAGGGAGGAAAAGUUAGUCGUUAAUACCGGCUAGCCUUGACGUUACCUACAGAAGAAGCACCGGCUAACUCAGUGCCAGCAGCCGCGGUAAUACUGAGGGUGCAAGCGUUAAUCGGAAUUACUGGGCGUAAAGCGCGCGUAGGCGGCUUGUUAAGCCAGAUGUGAAAGCCCCGGGCUCAACCUGGGAACUGCAUUUGGAACUGACUAGCUAGAGUACAGUAGAGGGUGGUGGAAUUUCCAGUGUAGCGGUGAAAUGCGUAGAGAU